CUCAACCUGGCCGCGGAAUUCUCCUCAACUUCAAGUUUAAAACCCUAACCGUUCCCACCAAUUAUUCCAAUCGCUCUCAUCUUGCAAGCUUACUGUUGUUUAUUGUCGCCGUCUAAGUCUUCUUCGAACUGCACCUACUCGCGCGCGACGGAUCUUCGUUCUCUUCGAUCCAACAACUUCUAAAAAGCGCUCUUUUCCGUUUCAGCCUUGCUAGAGGUUGAAGAGAGAGAAUGUGGUGUAGUCACUGCGUUGAAGACCAACAAGUCGCGUGGGGACCUGAUUACAUCGCCUGCUCUGUUUGUGGGAAGCUUUUUGAGUUCCCCGUUUCUAAAUGCCACCGUAUGAUUGGAAAACCAAAAAAAAUCCAGGGUUUGCUUGGAAGAACUGUGAAGCAUGGGAGCCUUUAUGAAGUUGAUGUUCUUGAUGUUUGGCAUUUCUUGGAUCAAACCUACCUUAGCGAAAAUUCACUUCUACCUAUUACUGUAGAUAGAGCCUUAAUGCAUUAAUUUUGUAACAUCUGAUUGUUUAUUUAUGCAAAUAUUCUGGGAAAGCAUACAUGUUGAGCAUUUUAAAUUUAUUCAACUUAUGGAUUGGAAUGAAUGUCACCAUAUUAUUUCGUUAUUAUAGCCAUUUUUGAGGAGGUCGUACUGAAUUCUACAAAAUUUACUUUAUUUGCAUGAGUAAGAUUUGCUUACACAUAUGAACAAAUCAUGUCCCAUAGGUUCCCAUAGAUUCAAAAAAUAAGAUACUAUCAAUCACAUUUUCUUAAGCUUUUAAGAAGAUAUAUCCAAUCCUUCGUCAUAAAGAUAUAAUCUUAACAUUCCUUUUAGUUAUAUUUGUCAUUCUAAAUGAUUCAUCGGCCUGAGGAUGGAAUCAUCUAAGGGUUUAAUAAAAAAUUGAGUGAUUUGAAAUGUCCUAAAAUCCCUAAUUUCUCAUAUUUGAAAUAGGUUGAAUCAGGUGACUUUGAAAUUUUGAUCUAUAUCAUCUCCUUGUUGUUUGCAACACAUCACACUUGCCACA